ensembl:lncRNA
UGUCAUCUGGCAAAGUGACACGUGCAUUUCAUUUACUCUCCCUGUGGCUUUUAAACAUAAUUUUUGUACACAGGUGGAACCACAAGUGUUUGUUCCUUAUGGAAAAGGUAGCAUGGAGACUUCUUUAACACUGAGAACCUUAGAACUGAAUAGACACAAAAUCACAAGGAACUUUAAAUUGUAAUGUGAUUUCCUGACAUAGAAUCAGAAACCUUCACACACUUCUGUGAAGCCAGACAUCUUUGAAGGAUACAGAGGACACACAGCUAUCAAUAUAUAGAAGGAGGAGAAGCUCCCUCAAGUAAAGAACAGCAAUAGAAGACAAGAACAACUGUCACCAGCCAGAAGAGGUGUCCAGUCUAUCUGCCUGGGUAGCAUCCUGAAGUCCAAUAGCGAGAGUCAUGGGGGACACUUACUUGUCUUGGUUAAUAUGACUCUUUUUGACCUGUGUCAGCUCUUUGAAAGUCUGUCCAAAGUGAGCAGUGGGGUGAACAAUGGCGGCAGCAUCUUUAGGUAUCUGGAUCCAACCAUCAGGAGCUCUAAGCACUGACCCGCAAUGGCUGCCUGCCUCAGUUUGCACACCAGAUGGAUGCCAGUGCUGGUCUCUGUCAGGAAAGUACACAGAUUUCCUAAUGGUGCUUUCAACAUUAGUUCCUAUUAGAGUAUGUAACUGAAGAGGUAUCAGAGAUAACUCUUAUGUUUCUUUAACGUGAUAGAUGUUCCUCAUAUUUUUCUAAAUUUAGAAAUAUCUUGAACAUUGUGCCAUGUAAAGUAUUGAUUAUCGUUCAUGUGCAUGUUUUAACUUCUGCGAUUUAUUUAUUGACUUUUAAAGCUUCUAAUUUCAACACUAACUUCCAAACGGCAACAGAAGAAAAGUAAAACAACAUUAGUGGCAGAAGAAUAAUUUGGAUCAUGUGCGUUGGAAUAGAGGUACUGAACAGAACCACUCGAGUGGGAAGGGCCCAGGUCACCAUCAAGGAGACUAAAGCUGGGGUAGGAAGAGCAUGAGACGGUCUCAGAGAUGCCUGAAGCCUUGGAGGAGCUGAAUGGUAGAGUUUCUUUGUAUCUUCCAGAGGAGAAGAAACCAUCAUCCAGAAUCCUUGUGACAAGGACUCGCUUGCGAUUGAGCAAGUGUCAUGUUGCCUGUCAUCUGAAAGGCAGCAGAGAAGCAUUAUCAUGGUGUCCCCACGCUAAAAACAAAAUGCAAGUCUCUGGGCAUGCUGGUAGCAUCCCACACUCCCCCUGACCUGCUGGCUCAUUCUGCUGCAUAGGACAUCAUUUGCAAUUGGAACUCCUCAGUCUCCACCAGUGGUUCUUCAAGUCUCAAGUCAUGUACAUUUUCAGAUCAUUGAGCUCCUCUGCAGGAUACUGGUGCUACUAAGGCUGGAGACGGUAAGACAUGUGCACCUCCAGUGUGUCCUCAAAGGCUUCAGUCCUUCAUGAGUUCUCAUCUUUCUCUCAUGAGGCCUGCAGUUAGCAUUACCUUCAUGGUUCUCAUCUUUCUUGCUAUCCUCUAUGACCGGAGAUCUACUCAGACUGCCAUUCUAGCAGGUCCUCAAUGAGGUUCAGGCUCAAAACGAGAACCAAGGAUAGUGACUGAUGGUGCUGGAGGAUAGAAAACAUCCAAUAGCCAGCAACAUAGAAACUUCACAGGACUCUGUGGAUUGUGUGGAUGACAGUGCACAUCCUUUAAAUCUAAUCUCCAGGUUUCAGUGACUUCUGUUUGCUACAGUGAAUGGUGUGAGCCUUGUCUAGUUUACUACCAGGCACAGAUGGAGUUCUUAGAACUCCCUUUGAAAACAUUUAGACAUGUGUAGAAAUCAGGAAGUAAAGAUUGAGUGUUUUGAAAGACACGAGUCCUGCCAAUGGAACUAUGCAAGCCCACGACAUUCUCCUUUCCUUCAUGUUUAUCUUUGCCUUCCUUUGAAGAAUGACUUACAGCAAGUAACUUGCCUUCCAAAGCCUCUGACUUACAGAUCCAUAAAGAAAACUAUGAAUUUUAGAUUUCAAGUACUAAGUAUUAGUCAGAGUGCUUCAAAAAAAUAAAAGAAAUAGAACCAA